rnacentral:rRNA from 1 species
UACAGAGGGUGCAAGCUUUAAUCGGAAUUACUGGGCGUAAAGCGUGCGUAGACGGUUGCGUAAGUCAGAUGUGAAAGCCCCGGGCUCAACCUGGGAAUUGCAUUUGAGACUGCGUAGCUAGGGUGCGGAAGAGGGAAGCGGAAUUUCCGGUGUAGCGGUGAAAUGCGUAGAUAUCGGAAGGAACACCAGUGGCGAAAGCGGCUUCCUGGUCCAGCACCGACGUUCAGGCACGAAAGCGUGGGGAGCAAACAGG